GGUCAGCUGACACAUCCCUGCCAAUUUCCGGCAGACCCUCCCUCCCAGACCCUCCUACUUCCUGGACAGCAUCCAUGUUGAAGGCAGCUUCAACAUGGUGCUGUCCAGGAGGUGGGAGGGUCUGGGAGGGAGGGUCUGCCGGAAAUUGGCAGGGAUGUGUCAGCUG
rnacentral:miRNA from 1 species